CCUACGGGAGGCAGCCGUGAGGAAUAUUGGUCAAUGGGCGCGAGCCUGAACCAGCCAAGUAGCGUGAAGGAUGAAUGCCCUACGGGUUGUAAACUUCUUUUAUAAAGGAAUAAAGUGAGGCACGUGUGCCUUUUUGUCUGUACUUUAUGAAUAAGGAUAGGCUAACUACGUGCCAGCAGCCGCGGUAAUACGGAGGAGCCGAGCGUUAUCCGGAUUUAGUGGGUUUAAAGGGAGCGUAGAUGGGUUGUUAAGUCAGUUGUGAAAGUUUGCGGCUCAACCGUAAAAUUGCAAUUGAUACUGGCAGCCUUGAGUACAGUUGAGGUAGGCGGAAUUCGUGGGGUAGCGGUGAAAUGCUUAGAUAUCACGAAGAACUCCGAUUGCGAAGGCAGCUUACUAAACUGCCACUGACAUUGAUGCUCGAAAGUGUGGGUAUCAAACAGGAUUAGAUACCCGGGUAGUC
rnacentral:rRNA from 1 species